CUCAGUGUCAUCAACUGCACGAUGAGUCUGUGGAGACAUAGGAUUCAGUUCCCUUCCAACCUCCAAAUGCCAUCAAUUCCUGAUGGGAGAGGGAAGGAGAUUUCUGGCUCAGUGAUGCUCUGAGAUAUUCAUAUUUCGGGUUGGGAGGGUCCACAGCCCCCCACCCAUCUCUUUCUGUUGAAAGGCUUAAAUACAAAAGGCCCUUUAGUUCCUUUGCAGGACUGGGGCUGGUGACAUGACAAGGAGAUUGCUCAAAGAGAUCUGAAAGAAGCUGGAACUGCCAGCUCACAGGAGAGGUGGCUGGAGUUUUACAAGAACUUCAGCGAGUGCCUUUGAAACUUUCUGCUAUUCAAGUCUGUUUAAAGCUUGCUUCUGAAGCCUGAUAUCUUUCAACUGGUUGACUUAAUUCUUCCCUCCUGCCUCGGGGGCUGAGCCCAGAGGAGCCUUGCAGGACAGCGGCACUUCCAGCCAUUCAAGCAACCAUCCACCUGGCACGAGGAGUCCAUCCAGAAGAAUGAUGAUGAAGAUGAGAGUGAACAUUUAUACUGUGCAUGCUGGGCACUGUUUACUCAUUCAGUCCUUACAACAACACUUGGAGGAAGAUCCUGCGAGCCACAGCUACAGAGCCCACGCGCCACAACUACUGAAGCCUGUGUGCCUAGAGCCAGUGCUCCGCAACAAGAGGAGCCACCGCAAUGAGAAGCCCGCGCACCGCAACAAAGAGUAGCCCCCGCUCGCCACAACUAGAGAAAGCCUGCACUCAGCAAUGAAGACCCAA